AGAGUUUGAUCAUGGCUCAGAACGAACGCUGGCGGCAGUAACACAUGCAAGUCGAGCGCCUCGNNNGAGAGCGGCAGACGGGUGAGUAACGCGUGGGAAUCUACCCAUCUCUACGGAACAACUCCGGGAAACUGGAGCUAAUACCGUAUACGUCCUUCGGGAGAAAGAUUUAUCGGAGAUGGAUGAGCCCGCGUUGGAUUAGCUAGUUGGUGGGGUAAUGGCCUACCAAGGCGACGAUCCAUAGCUGGUCUGAGAGGAUGAUCAGCCACAUUGGGACUGAGACACGGCCCAAACUCCUACGGGAGGCAGCAGUGGGGAAUAUUGGACAAUGGGCGAAAGCCUGAUCCAGCCAUGCCGCGUGAGUGAUGAAGGCCCUAGGGUUGUAAAGCUCUUUCAACGGUGAAGAUAAUGACGGUAACCGUAGAAGAAGCCCCGGCUAACUUCGUGCCAGCAGCCGCGGUAAUACGAAGGGGGCUAGCGUUGUUCGGAAUUACUGGGCGUAAAGCGCACGUAGGCGGAUACUUAAGUCAGGGGUGAAAUCCCGGGGCUCAACCCCGGAACUGCCUUUGAUACUGGGUAUCUCGAGUCCGAGAGAGGUGAGUGGAAUUCCGAAUGUAGAGGUGAAAUUCGUAGAUAUUCGGAGGAACACCAGUGGCGAAGGCGGCUCACUGGCUCGGUACUGACGCUGAGGUGCGAAAGCGUGGGGAGCAAACAGGAUUAGAUACCCUAGUAGUCC
rnacentral:rRNA from 1 species